rnacentral:lncRNA from 1 species
AGAUGAAAAGCAAUCUGAAAUUGCGAAUAGGAGAUAUGAAGGUUCAUGAAUCUGAAUACUCAAUAUAGUUGGAGUCUUGAUGACGGUAAAACAGGUGGUCUAACCGACACACGCGAUUACACGAAAGUAGCAAAGGCUAAACUUUAUCUAAUCAAAACCCAAGGCUCCAUAGGGGGGCUCAUGGGGUAUAGAUAGGAGGGAAACUAGGUGGUUUUC